rnacentral:rRNA from 1 species
AUUGAACGCUGGCGGCAGGCCUAACACAUGCAAGUCGAACGAGUGGCGUACGGGUGAGUAAUGUCUGGGAAUCUGCCUGAUGGAUGGGGAUAACUACUGGAAACGGUAGCUACUACCGCCUACCAUCGGAUGUGCCCAGAUGGGAUUAGCUAGUAGGUGGGGUAAAGGCUCACCUAGGCGACGAUCCCGAGCUGGGCUGAGAGGAUGACCAGACACACUGGAACUGAGACACGGUCCAGACUCCUACGGGAGGCAGCAGGGGGGAAUAUUGCACAAGGGGCGAAAGCCUGAGGCAGCCAUGCCGCGUGUAUGAAGAAGGCCUUCGGGUUGUAAAGUACUUUCAGCGGGGAGGCGUUACCCGCAGAAGAAGCACCGGCUAACUCCGUGCCAGCAGCCGCGGUAAUAC